rnacentral:rRNA from 1 species
AAAGCACUUUCAGCGGGGAGGAAGGCGGGUGAGGUUUAAUAACCUCGUCGAAUGGACGUUACCCGCAGAAGGAGGCCCCGGCUAACUCCGUGCCAGCAGGCCGCGGGUAAUACGGAGGGUGCCAAGCGUUAAUUCGGAAUUUACUGGGCGUAAAGCGCACGCAGGCGGUCUGUCCAAGUCGGAUGUGAAAUCCCCGGGCUCAACCUGGGAACUGCAUUCGAAACUGGCAGGCUAGAGUCUUGUAGAGGGGGGUAGAAUUCCAGGUGUAGCGGUGAAAUGCGUAGAGAUCUGGAGGAAUACCGGUGGCGAAGGCGGCCCCCUGGACAAAGACUGACGCUCAGGUGCGAAAGCGUGGGGAGCAAACAGGAUUAGAUACCCUGGUAGUCCACGCUGUAAACGAUGUCGAUUUGGAGGUUGUGCCCUUGAGGCGUGGCUUCCGGAGCUAACGCGUUAAAUCGACCGCCUGGGGAGUACGGCCGCAAGGUUAAAACUCAAAUGAAUUGACGGGGGCCCGCACAAGCGGUGGAGCAUGUGGUUUAAUUCGAUGCAACGCGAAGAACCUUACCUGGUCUUGACAUCCACAGAACUUUCCAGAGAUGGAUUGGUGCCUUCGGGAACUGUGAGACAGGUGCUGCAUGGCUGUCGUCAGCUCGUGUUGUGAAAUGUUGGGUUAAGUCCCGCAACGAGCGCAACCCUUAUCCUUUGUUGCCAGCGGUUAGGCCGGGAACUCAAAGGAGACUGCCAGUGAUAAACUGGAGGAAGGUGGGGAUGACGUCAAGUCAUCAUGGCCCUUACGACCAGGGCUACACACGUGCUACAAUGGCAUAUACAAAGAGAAGCGACCUCGCGAGAGCAAGCGGACCUCAUAAAGUAUGUCGUAGUCCGGAUUGGAGUCUGCAACUCGACUCCAUGAAGUCGGAAUCGCUAGUAAUCGUAGAUCAGAAUGCUACGGUGAAUACGUUCCCGGGCCUUGUACACACCGCCCGUCACACCAUGGGAGUGGGUUGCAAAAGAAGUAGGUAGCUUAACCUUCGGGAGGGCGCUUACCACUUUGGAUUCA